rnacentral:rRNA from 2 species
UGAGGAAUAUUGGUCAAUGGGCGCAAGCCUGAACCAGCCAUCCCGCGUGAAGGUAGAAGGUUUUCGGAUUGUAAACUUCUGUCCUCAGGGAAGAAGGAAGUGACGGUACCUGAGGAGGAAUCCCCGGCUAACUACGUGCCAGCAGCCGCGGUAAUACGGAGGGGGCGAGCGUUGUCCGGAAUGACUGGGCGUAAAGGGCGCGUAGACGGCUGUCUAAGUCUGGAGUGAAAGUCCUGCUUUCAAGGUGGGAAUUGCUUUGGAGACUGGAUGGCUUGAGUGCGGAAGAGGUAAGUGGAAUUCCUAGUGUAGCGGUGAAAUGCGUAGAGAUUGGGAGGAACACCAGUGGCGAAGGCGACUUACUGGGCCGUAACUGACGUUGAUGCGCGAAAGCGUGGGGAGCGAACAGG